UUAAGAAAUUUGAAUUUCAAAUCUCUAUAACCUGAUAUCAAUUAAUUAAAAUUAUAAAAGCCAAGAUGAUGGGUUGAAUAAAUAAUGGAAUGCUUUAUCAUAAUACCUGUAAAUGAUCAGUUUUAUUUCCAGUUUUCUUCAGAC